rnacentral:ncRNA from 2 species
AGCCGUACCCCGGGGAGCCUGUGUUGGCUGAGAGGGGCCGGUCACGCGGCCCGACCCGUCGAACCUGAACCCGUUAGCACGGGCGGAGGGAGGGCCGGCGGCAAAUCC